GACGGAGGAUGCAAGCGUUAUCCGGAAUGAUUGGGCGUAAAGCGUCUGCAGGUGGCAGUUCAAGUCUGCUGUCAAAGACCGGGGCUUAACUUCGGAAAGGCAGUGGAAACUGAACAGCUAGAGUAUGGUAGGGGCAGAGGGAAUUCCUGGUGUAGCAGUGAAAUGCGUAGAGAUCAGGAAGAACAUCGGUGGCGAAGGCGCUCUGCUGGACCAUAACUGACACUCAGGGACGAAAGCUAGGGGAGCGAAUGGG
rnacentral:rRNA from 1 species